rnacentral:rRNA from 1 species
UACAGAGGGUGCAAGCGUUAAUCGGCAUUACUGGGCGUAAAGCGUGCGUAGACGGUAGCGUAAGUCGGGUGUGAAAGCCCCGGGCUCAACCUGGGAAUGGCAUUCGAGACUGCUCUGCUAGGGUGCGGAAGAGGGGAGCGGAAUUUCCGGUGUAGCAGUGAAAUGCGUAGAGAUCGGGAGGAACAUCAGUUGCGAAGGCGGCUCUCUGGACCAGCACUGACACUGAGGCACGAAAGCGUGGGGAGCAAACAGG